CUUUAAGGACAGGAAAAAGUGGAGAGGAGAGGAUGGAAAGAGGAAAGACUGGAUGAAUGCAUUAGAGAAAGAACGGAAAAAUCAGAGGCUGAUCAGAUGAGUCUUUUUUUUCUCUUAUAAAAGCCAGUGGCUCCUGAUUGGCCUCAAGCCCCUAAGGGGUCUCUUCACCCAGUUAGCCUCCUGGUAGAUGCGUUUACUUUGUAUGAUUACUCGUUGGAGUGGGGUUUCUCAACCUCUGCUCUGCUGACAUCUGGGGCCAGAAAGUCUUUGUUGUCAGGGCUGUCCUGUGCAUUGUGGGAGGUUUAGCUGCUUUCCUGAUCUGUACCCUCUAGAUGCCAGUAACAAGUCCUAGUUGUGGGCACUAAAAAUGUCCCCAGAGUGGGGAGCAAAAUCACCCCUGGCUGAGAAUCACUCAACAGAGGAAAGUUGCAGACUCAGAUUUAGGUUCCAAUUCUAGCUCCAUCCUUUACAUCCUUAAAAAACAAACAAACACAAUAAUAUUUACUUGAGCCUAUUUUCUUUCUUUUUAAAACAUUUUACUUACUUAUUUGUCUGCACUGGGUCUUAGUUGCAGCAUGCGGGGUCUUUAGAGGUGAUAUGUGGGGUCUCGUUCCCUGACUAGGGAUUGAACUAGGGCCCCUGCAUUGGGAGCACAGAGCCUUAGCCAUUGGUCCACCAGGGAAGUCCCUGAGCCAGUUUUCAGGUCAGCAAAUGCUUAUCUCAAAAAGCUGUUUUGAGAAUGAAAUGAAAGGUGUGAAAAGCAUAUAUUAUCAUUAUUAUUGAGCUCCCAACAGGUGUUUAGUAAGCAUUUGUUUCCCUCCCCGUUUCAGCUUCAUUUAUUUAACAAAUAUUUAUUGAGAAUGUAUGCUGUAUGCUAAGGAUACAAGCACAGAACAAUUCCUGUCCUCCAGGAGGUAACCCACUCUGAAAGGAGAUAAUACUGCAGGUUUCUACCUGUACAUGAAAGGGCAUAUGGACAUAUAUUAUAAUAGUAUAAUACUAUAC
ensembl:lncRNA